UGGCUGUUAGUUAUGGUAGUUACUGUAUGAUAUUAUUGCAUGUGAUUGUAUUUAUGUUUCGUAUGUUUAGAUAAUUAUUUACGCUACUUACGCUAUUUAUGCUGGAGUUACUAAUGCUUUAUUGUUUUUGUUUUUGUUUUUAUUUUUGUCUUUGUUUUUGUUUUACUAAUGUUUUUCCUUUUAUCCUAUGAGCCGGGGGUCGAUUGGAAACAGCCUCUCUGCCCUUUCGGGUAGGGGUAAGGCUUGUCUACAUAUUACCCUCCCCAGACCCCACCUGG
rnacentral:lncRNA from 1 species